rnacentral:rRNA from 1 species
GACAUACUAAGAACUUUCCAGAGAUGGAUUGGUGCCUUCGGGAACUUAGAUACAGGUGCUGCAUGGCUGUCGUCAGCUCGUGUCGUGAGAUGUUGGGUUAAGUCCCGCAACGAGCGCAACCCUUUUCCUUAUUUGCCAGCGGGUCAUGCCGGGAACUUUAAGGAUACUGCCAGUGACAAACUGGAGGAAGGCGGGGACGACGUCAAGUCAUCAUGGCCCUUACGGCCAGGGCUACACACGUGCUACAAUGGUCGGUACAAAGGGUUGCUACCUCGCGAGAGGAUGCUAAUCUCAAAAAGACCGAUCGUAGUCCGGAUCGCAGUCUGCAACUCGACUGCGUGAAGUCGGAAUCGCUAGUAAUCGCGGAUCAGAAUGCCGCGGUGAAUACGUUCCCGGGCCUUGUACACACCGCCCGUCACACCAUGGGAGUUUGUUGCACCAGAAGUAGGUAGUCUAACCGCAAGGAGGACGCUUACCACGGUGUGGCCGAUGACUGGGGUGAAGUCGUAACAAGGUAGGCGUAGAUGA